rnacentral:rRNA from 1 species
GGAAUCUGCCUAUUAGUGGGGGACAACAUUUCGAAAGGAAUGCUAAUACCGCAUACGUCCUACGGGAGAAAGCAGGGGAUCUUCGGACCUUGCGCUAAUAGAUGAGCCUAAGUCGGAUUAGCUAGUUGGUGGGGUAAAGGCCUACCAAGGCGACGAUCUGUAGCGGGUCUGAGAGGAUGAUCCGCCACACUGGGACUGAGACACGGCCCAGACUCCUACGGGAGGCAGCAGUGGGGAAUAUUGGACAAUGGGCGGAAGCCUGAUCCAGCCAUGCCGCGUGUGUGAAGAAGGCCUUAUGGUUGUAAAGCACUUUAAGCGAGGAGGAGGCUACUUUAGUUAAUACCUAGAGAUAGUGGACGUUACUCGCAGAAUAAGCACCGGCUAACUCUGUGCCAGCAGCCGCGGUAAUACAGAGGGUGCAAGCGUUAAUCGGAUUUACUGCGCGUAAAGCGCGCGUAGGCGGCUAAUUAAGUCAAAUGUGAAAUCCCCGAGCUUAACUUGGGAAUUGCAUUCGAUACUGGUUAGCUAGAGUGUGGGAGAGGAUGGUAGAAUUCCAGGUGUAGCGGUGAAAUGCGUAGAGAUCUGGAGGAAUACCGAUGGCGAAGGCAGCCAUCUGGCCUAACACUGACGCUGAGGUGCGAAAGCAUGGGGAGCAAACAGGAUUAGAUACCCUGGUAGUCCAUGCCGUAAACGAUGUCUACUAGCCGUUGGGGCCUUUGAGGCUUUAGUGGCGCAGCUAACGCGAUAAGUAGACCGCCUGGGGAGUACGGUCGCAAGACUAAAACUCAAAUGAAUUGACGGGGGCCCGCACAAGCGGUGGAGCAUGUGGUUUAAUUCGAUGCAACGCGAAGAACCUUACCUGGCCUUGACAUAGUAAGAACUUUCCAGAGAUGGAUUGGUGCCUUCGGGAACUUACAUACAGGUGCUGCAUGGCUGUCGUCAGC